UGGGAGUUGAGCAUCUCAGACGAGCUGACAGCUUCAUUGCUAGAUUCUUGGCAGAACAUAUGGAUCUUUACUCCAGGAAAAGAAUGAGGUUUCAUGCAGUGUCAAAAAGUACAGCCACAGCACGGGCAUGGCCAUCCUGAAGAAGAGAGGUGGAGGGGGCUGUCCUGGUCCCGAGGCCUGUGCCUAGGGGUCCCAGUGCAAGCCUGCAAGAGGACAGAUACCACUGGAGUGCCGGCUGG
rnacentral:lncRNA from 1 species